rnacentral:rRNA from 1 species
GCGCAGCCGUCGCGAAACCUCCGCAAUGCUCGAAAGAGCGACGGGGGACUCCAAGUGCCUACGCUUUGCGUAGGCUUUUCCCAAGCCUAAAAAGCUUGGGGAAUAAGGGCUGGGUAAGACGGGUGCCAGCCGCCGCGGUAAUACCCGCAGCCCGAGUGGUGGCCGCUUUUAUUGGGCCUAAAGCGUCCGUAGCCGGUCUGGUAAAUGCCUGGGUAAAUCGUCUGGCUCAACCAGACGAAUUCCGGGUAGACUGCCAGACUAGGGACCGGAGGAAGGAGAGGGUACUCCGGGGGUAGGGGUGAAAUCCUGUAAUCCUCGGAGGACCACCGGUGGCGAAGGCGCUCUCCUAGGACGGGUCCGACGGUGAGGGACGAAAGCCAGGGGAGCAAACCGGAUUAGAUACCCCUGUAGU